GAUCUCCGCCUUGUAUACCGUUAAAAUGUUCGAGUUGUUCCCGCAUUCAGACAUAGAACAUGAAAAAAUCCGUUGUCCGCUUUAAUGAUACAUCAUAGGAUGGCCAGAAGCCUAGACUUCCUGGGAACAGCCCUAAAGGUCGUAGCAGGUAUCUCCGACGAGUCGGCCCUCGAAAAAUAAGAAUAACAGCUUGUAGAAUUAAACAAUAGACAGGUACUGAUUAACACAGAAGCACAGAAACAGAAUGCUUAUUUCGGAAGUCCAAAAUCUCAUGCUAACGAUAACAUUUGACAAAGCGAAUAUUCCAGAAAGAUCUAAAAUCUAUUUUUACCGAACAGCUCACAGAGGUCCCUGUAGCUAAUUUGUAUCAAAUAUAAGAAUUUGUCAUUACCACAUUAUUAUUCAUAUAGUAGAAUACCCCCAGGUUAAGAUUAUCUGUAAGAAGGUCCUAAUGUUCCGGUAGCGCGUAACAACACCGUGCUACAAAUGCACGACAAUGUCGUGGCGGAAAGCGACGAGGGGAUCCUAGCCGUCAGCGGGUGCGCCGUUACGUUUAGCAAGAAAGCAACGCACGACACCUGCGCUCGCGAAGUACACGCCGGCGGCUCUGCUUCAAGCCGCACGCAACCCCGCCACCUGGCCAUCACCAGCCUGUUGCAUAAAUCCUGAGUAGUUGGACGAUGGCCUAAUCAUCAUAAAUGGGCAGCGAGCAACGAUCAGCGUUGACAAUGGACCCCAGUAGCUAUUAUAUGGGCAUGUAACUAUAGGACAGUGUUAUGUACACGCACAGACAAAAUAAAUGAUAACAAAAGUAAACGAACAGUCAAGGGGCUAGGAGGACCAUAGCAGCAUAUGGAAAUAUUAUGUAAAAUCAUGGUUUUUAGAUGUCUGGAGGAUUUCAUGGUAAGAGCUCACAUAAAGAAUGGAGUCAUAAAGGAUGAAAAGACAAAAAUUAAUCAAUUCGACUUAUGGUAAUAUACUACACUCCUAUAUCGAAUGCUACUUUGUGGCGAGUCUAAACCAAUGCCCUAUAUCCUUACUACUUUUGUGGCGCCCCCUAGCGGACAAGAUGUGAACUAACUUUGUCAAAAAAUCCAUGAUCAAUAAUCCUGGACAGCACCCAUCAAACAACUAUCCCCCUCUCUGCUUAUGUGAUUGGUUCCCUGCAACGAUUCAAACAUCCCUCAAGCAAAUGUUUCGUCCCGUCCCUUUCGAAUGAAUCUGCGGCACUAAACGAUUCAAACGUCCCUCCAGCAAGUGUUUCGUCCCGUCCCUUUCAAAAGAAUCUGCGCCACUAUUUUAUUUUGGGAUCGGUUCAAGUAUUUCGUCCCGUCCCUUUCGAAUGAAUCUGCUACACUAAACGAUUCAAACGUCCCUCCAGCAAGUGUUUCGUCCCGUCCCUUUUGAAUGAAUCUGCGGCACUAUUUUAUUUUGGGAUCGGUUCAAGUAUUUCGUCCCGUCCCUUUCAAAUGAAUCUGCGGCACUAUUUUAUUUUGGGAUCGUUUAUCUCUUUUGGUUUUUUGGUUUUAUGGUUUUUUCUGUAAAAGGUCCUCCUAGCCCCUUGCUUGUUCGUUUCCUUUUGUUAUCAUUUCUUUUGUCUGUGCGUAUACCUAACACUGUCCUAUAGUUACAUGCCCAUAUAAUAACUACUCACAGCUACAAGCUACUCAUAAACUAGUGGAUUCUAAACGAAGAUGGAUGACCUAUAAAUUAUUUUGAAACAACUAUAGAUCUGGACACCCAGCCCGACUCCGUGGACCUUUCGCUCAUAUUCGGAAUUAAAACGCAAGAAUAUAUAAGGAAAUGGAACGUCUUAAGUGAUAUUGUAUGGGAUGAUAGUCUAGAUGACCUAAUGGUUGCCGCUCCGAUUGACGAAAAUCAAACAUUCGACUUCCCGGAUGAUGACAGUAUAUUCGAUUUGGUCGAUGAUAAUGACGAAGGGGACAGAAAACGAUUCCAGGAACUGCUUCGCGACGAAGAUAAUGCCGAAUUAAUAGCUGCGCUAGAAAGAGCCGAGACGUAAUUUUAAUAAUAUUCUUAUUUAUGUUUAAUACAAUUAAUUUAUGUAUUUUUCUACAAAUAAUAUAUAAUAUAUACAAUAUACAUUUAAAACAAUAUUUAUUUUCAAUGGCUAUUUUUUUUUGACUUUGAUUGGUGAAAUUUCACUCCACCAAGAGACUCAUAGGAUUCGUUUCCAACAUGGUUUUUUCUAAGGGAGGAUUACACAAAAAGAAUAAGUAGAUUUUAGGUAGAAUGCCUGUACUAUUGAAUGUAUUGGUUGAAUUUCAC
rnacentral:lncRNA from 1 species